AAGACCGGAGCCUUGCCAAGUCGAGCACAAUUAUUUGUAAAUACCCACAAACGUAAGAACGGCACACAUUUGAACAAUGAAACGGAAAAAGUAGUGACUGAAAUGGAGGAACUCCUUACCCAUGACCCCACCUCCAGACUAGGAGGUACUGGAGGGACCAUGACUUGGGCACCUGAUGAUAUUUAUUCCAAGGUCAUGGGCCCAGAAUGUCAUGGGCGAGUGCGUGGUUUAGGUUUUGGGCAAACCACAAAAAAGAGGUGCAACACGCAUUCAACAUCUACAUCAACAUCGCAAUCGACAAUAGAGAUGAUACAAAACGAGUUAACUGUGUUAAAAAACAUGUUUUAUGGCUACAUUCAAGCACAGAUUGAAGGGAAAAAUCCUCUUGAAGGAAUAUCUCUAAAUGAACUUCAGAAAUUACUUGCACCAAAUCAAUCAGCUAUCAUUCAUAAUGAGAAUGGAGAAAAUAGGAAUGACGAUGCAGAGGACCACAAUGAAGAUGAAGAAGUGGAAGAGGAU